UACGGGGGGGGGCAAGCGUUGUUCGGAAUUACUGGGCGUAAAGGGCUCGUAGGCGGCCAACUAAGUCAGACGUGAAAUCCCCGAGCUUAACUUGGGAAUUGCGCUCGAAACUACGGUGCUGGAGUGUGGCAGAGGGGAGGUGGAAAUUCCACGUGUAGCGGUGAAAUGCGUAGAGAUGUGGAGGAACACCGAUGGCGAAGGCAGCCUCCUGGGCCAACACUGACGCUCAUGCACGAAAGCGUGGGGAGCAAACAGG
rnacentral:rRNA from 1 species